UACAGAGGUGGCGAGCGUUAUUCGGAAUUAUUGGGCGUAAAGGGCGCGUAGGCGGCUAGACAAGUCCCGGGUGAAAUCCCUCGGCUCAACCGGAGGAACUGCCUUGGAAACUGUCUGGCUUGAGGCCUGGGAGAGGGUAGUGGAAUUCCCAGUGUAGCGGUGAAAUGCGUAGAUACUGGGAGGAACACCGGUGGUGUAGACGGCUUUCUGGACCGUAGCUGACGCUGAGACACGAAAGCGUGGGUAGCAAACAGG
rnacentral:rRNA from 1 species